UAGGGAAUCUUCCACAAUGGACGCAAGUCUGAUGGAGCAACGCCGCGUGAGUGAAGAAGGUUUUCGGACCGUAAAGCUCUGUUGUUGGUGAAGAAGGAUAGAGGUAGUAACUGGCCUUUAUUUGACGGUAAUCAACCAGAAAGUCACGGCUAACUACGUGCCAGCAGCCGCGGUAAAUCGUAGGUGGCAAGCGUUGUCCGGAUUUAUUGGGCGUAAAGCGAGCGCAGGCGGAAGAAUAAGUCUGAUGUGAAAGCCCUCGGCUUAACCGAGGAAUUGCAUCGGAAACUGUUUUUCUUGAGUGCAGAAGAGGAGAGUAGAACUCCAUGUGUAGCGGUGGAAUGCGUAGAUAUAUGGAAGAAUACCAGUGGCGAAGGCGGCUCUCUGGUCUGCAACUGACGCUGAGGCUCGAAAGCAUGGGUAGCGAACAGGAUUAGAUACCCUGGUAGUCCAUGCCGUAAACGAUGAGUGCUAAGUGUUGGGAGGCUUCCGCCUCUCAGUGCUGCAGCUAACGCAUUAAGCACUCCGCCUGGGGGAGUACGACCGC
rnacentral:rRNA from 1 species